rnacentral:rRNA from 1 species
UACGUAGGCAGCAAGCGUUGUUCGGAGUUACUGGGCGUAAAGGGCGCGUAGGCGGUGCGGUAAGUCACCUGUGAAAUCUCCUGGCUCAACUGGGAGCUUGCAGGCGAAACUGCCGUGCUGGAGUGUGGGGAGAGGUGAGUGGAACUGCGAAGUGUAGAGGUGAAAUUCGUAGAUAUUCGCAAGAACACCAGUGGCGAAGGCGGCUCACUGGCCCGGUACUGACGCUGAGGUGCGAAAGCGUGGGGAGCAAACAGG